UACGUAGGGGGCAAGCGUUGUCCGGAUUUAUUGGGCGUAAAGAGCGUGUAGGCGGUUUGGUAGGUCCGCUGUGAAAACUCGAGGCUCAACCUCGAGACGCCGGUGGAAACCAUCAGGCUAGAGUCCGGAAGAGGAGAGUGGAAUUCCUUGUGUAGCGGUGAAAUGCGCAGAUAUCAGGAGGAACACCGGUGGCGAAGGCGGGUCUCUGGGCAGUAACUGACGCUGAGGAGCGAAAGCGUGGGGAGCGAACAGG
rnacentral:rRNA from 1 species